rnacentral:misc_RNA from 1 species
CGUCAUCCACGAACAGAUCGCGGCGAAGACACAGAGGAUGAUGAGCCACUGGAAGACGACCACUAGGAGGAGGAGACCACUCUGAGCCUCGCGGGGCGUCCUGGUGAUUGCCUGAUCCUGAGAGCUGCCUUCCUGUCCACUGGCCGUCUCCAUCGCCCACGACCGUCCUUACGCCAGUGGCGGGCCAACAUCUCACCGUCAUCGAGACAGCG